CCUGGCUCAGGAUGAACGCUAGCGGCAGGCUUAACACAUGCAAGUCGAGGGGCAGCGCGUUGUAGCAAUACGAUGGCGGCGACCGGACGAAAGGGUGCGUAACGCGUGAGCAACCUGCCCGUAUCCGGGGACAUAAGCGGUGGAAACGCCGUCUAAUUUCCCAUAACAACGAGGGCCGCAUGGUCCAUGUUUGAAAGAUGCGUCGGAUACGGAUGGGCUCGCGAGACAUUAGCUAGUCGGCGUGGUAACGGCACACCGAGGCGACGAUGUCUAGGGGUUCUGAGAGGAAGGUCCCCCCACACUGGAACUGAGACACGGUCCAGACUCCUACGGGAGGCAGCAGUGAGGAAUAUUGGUCAAUGGACGAGAGUCUGAACCAGCCAAGUAGCGUGAGGGAUGACUGCCCUAUGGGUUGUAAACCUCUUUUGUUUGGGAAUAAAGUGCGGGACGCGUCCUGCAUUGCAUGUACCUUACGAAUAAGCAUCGGCUAAUUCCGUGCC
rnacentral:rRNA from 1 species